rnacentral:rRNA from 1 species
GACGAACGCUGGCGGCGUGCUUAACACAUGCAAGUCGAGCGGUGAACUUGGAGCUUACUCCGGGGGGUCAGUGGCGAACGGGUGAGUAACACGUGAGUAACCUGCCCCAGACUCUGGGAUAACCUCGGGAAACCGUGGCUAAUACCGGAUACGAGAUGGGACCGCAUGGUCAUUGUCUGGAAAGAAUUUCGGUCUGGGAUGGACUCGCGGUCUAUCAGCUAGUUGGUGAGGUAAGGGCUCACCAAGGGGAGGACGGGUAGCCGGCCUGAGAGGGCAACCGGCCACACUGGAACUGAGACACGGUCCAGACUCCUACGGGAGGCAGCAGUGGGGAAUAUUGCACAAUGGGCGCAAGACUGAUGCAGCGACGCCGCGUGGGGGAUGAAGGCCUUCGGGUUGUAAACCCCUUUCAGCAGGGAAGAAGCGAAAGUGACGGUACCUGCAGAAGAAGCGCCGGCUAACUACGUGCCAGCAGCCGCCGUAA